GAUGAACGCUGGCGGCGUGCAUAACACAUUCAAGUCGAACGGUGAUCACCUUCGGGUGUGAUCAGUGGCGGACGGGUGAGUAACGCGUGAGCAACCUGCCCUUGUGUGGGGGAUACCGUCUGGAAACGGACGUUAAUACCGCAUAUGCCAUAGAAAUCACAUGAUUUCAGUGGGAAAGGAGUAAUCCGCUAACAGAUGGGCUCGCGUCUGAUUAGAUAGUUGGUGGGGUAACGGCCUACCAAGUCGACGAUCAGUAGCCGGACUGAGAGGUUGAACGGCCACAUUGGGACUGAGAUACGGCCCAGACUCCUACGGGAGGCAGCAGUCGGGAAUAUUGCGCAAUGGAGGAAACUCUGACGCAGUGACGCCGCGUAUAGGACGAAGGUCUUCGGAUUGUAAACUAUUGUCGUUAGGGAAGNGAAAGGACAGUACCUAAGGAGGAAGCUCCGGCUAACUACGUG
rnacentral:rRNA from 1 species